CUCUCCUCGGCUCCCCGCGGGGCACAGGCUGUCGGAGGGGAUCCAGCGGGAGGAGGCUACUCUGGUCCGCAGAGGCCGUCUCUGGUCUCUAGUCCCCGUGCCUGCGCCCCCCCUCCCCCCGCGAUGCCCCCCGGGCGGCUGGGAAAGGACUCUGGGGCAGACUCCAGAGGCUGGGAGGGUGCGGCCGGGCUCACGCGCGACUCUUGAGCGGGAGGGAGGCCGUCCCGUUCCACGUUGCUGCCGGGGUGCAGCGGGCAGCGCUCCAGGGCCCAGCGGUCCGCCCGUCCCCCCCUCCCUCCUCGAGGGUUGGGGCACAGAGGAGGCAGACACCCCUGAGGGCUUGUGCCAGGUAAUUACCAAGCAAAUUCCGGGCGAUCUCUUCCCCUCCCCCGCGGCAGUGCCUGCUGCGCGUUCCCUGAUUCGGGCCCCGGCUGCGCCACCAGCGCAGGUAACCUGCGGGGCCCCGUAAUUGCUCUGGAGUUGCCCGGGACUGCGCAAGAUUCAGGAAGGGAUGUUAGACCGGGGCCAAGUUCCUGGAGACAGGCUCCACACUGGUCCUGAGAGAAGAAGGAGAAGAUUUCAGCGAGAGGGACAGAAUUUAAAAGGACGACUUCCCCAUUUCUUCCUGCUCCUCUGGAUCUUAUACAUCUUUCAACACUCAGCUCAAGGCCCAUGUGGCCUGGGAGGCCUUCCAGUACCAGCUUGGUAAACGCACUCUUUUGUAAAUAUAAUCUGUGUGUGCUGCACAGUU